rnacentral:rRNA from 1 species
UACAGGGGGUGCAAACGUUGCUCGGAAUCAUUGGGCGUAAAGCGCACGUAGGCGGUUCGUUAUGUCGGAUGUGAAAGCCCCGGGCUCAACCUGGGAAUGGCAGUGGAAACUAGGGGACUGGAAUCUGGCAGAGGGGGGUGGAAUGCCGCGUGUAGCAGUGAAAUGCGUAGAGAUGCGGCGGAACACCGAUGGCGAAGGCAGCCCCCUGGGCUGAGAUUGACGCUCAGGCACGAAAGCGUGGGGAGCAAACAGG